GGCCCUGACAACGGGUCCAGGCCAGUCCCACCGCCCGUUGGCAUGGACAACCGCAGCACAUCUGGCCGCCAGAUGGCCGCGCGCGCGCUGCUGCUUCAAACGGCCACACAUUCCAAACAGCAACGGUUAGGCACCGUGAGCCUUUCCCGUCGGCCGCAGCUCUUCCUUAUCUGCGGCUUUAAAUCUCCACAAAGACGGACUUUUAAAAAGCCGGGAGCCCACUUCGCUGCAUCCAGUCAUUCGUAACGCUCCGACUUUUCUUUUUGCUCCCGAAAUCAAGAGCGAGCGUCAGAUCUGAACUCUGCCUCAGAAUGAACAGGAGACAAACUUAGAGGCUGCUGAAGGGAAAUAAGAGGAGGCACCUUCUGAACGGUAGAACUGAUCCGUGGAAUCAGGUCCAAGCAAUUCCUACCUACAGAAUUAGAAUCAGAGUUCGAGGAAAUAGUGGCAUAGUGCUAAUAUCACCAGUUUACAAAUCCAGAACUGGGGAUGUGCAUUUGAAUCUCACUCAACAUCUAGAAUAUAAAUCCACUCUGUCAUGGUGGCAAUGAAAUCAUCAUCAAUUGUGGCAAAAGCCCAUCUGAUUCAUCAAUGUCCUUUAAAGAAGGAAAUCAGUUGUCCUAAUCUGGUCUGGCCUACAUGUGACUCCAGACCCACAGCAGUUUGGUUUACCCUUAACUGCCCUCUGAAUUGGCUCAUUUCAAGGGUGGUUAGUGGCGGCAAUGAAUGUUGGCAUAGCCAGCGAUGUCCACAUCUCAUGAAAGAAUGAAAAAAAUUAAAGAGUUUGCAGUAGCACAACACAUUGACAGGCAAUGGUACUAAGAAGGUACCACACCUGAGGAACUGCUAACAUUGGCACUAUUUCUAUCCAUUUGAGAAGACAAACACAUUAUCUGAUUAAUUGCCACAUCAAAAUGUUUGCCCUGUUUCUUGUCUCCCAGAUCCCACAGACAGUUUUCUCAGUUGUCAGAUCCCAAGAGAAAAAGCAUCUUUCAUUUUAACAAGAGCCAGUGCAUAAACCAUUGUUCCUCUGUAACCCAAUUUAUAUGUAAACUAAAGGAACAAAAGGAAGAAAUGUAGACAGUGCUGACAGAACCUGUUAUAUAAUGUCAUAAAUAAGCUACUCAUGUCUAAUCAGAUCCUUCAAAUUUAAAGGAACACAUUUUGUAUUUUAGUCUAGGAAAUAUUAGCCAGGAUUCCUGAUUUCCUAUUCAGUGCCAACUCUUGAACAGCACUGGAUUGGCUGCUGAGCCACACAAAAGGAAGAAUGAUUAGGAGAUAGUAGGAACUGCAGAUGCUGGAGAAUCUGAGAUAACAAGGUGUAGAGCUGGAUGAACACAGCAGGCUAAGCAGCAUCAGAG